rnacentral:tRNA from 1 species
AAGCGAGAAGCAAUAAAUUGCAAUCAGUUUCGGCCUGAUCUAAAGGUACUUAGUGUGCCCUCCCUUC